UACAGAGGUGGCAAGCGUUGUUCGGAAUUACUGGGCGUAAAGGGCGCGUAGGCGGCCUUCUAAGUCAGACGUGAAAUCCCUCGGCUUAACCGGGGAACUGCGUCUGAUACUGGAUGGCUUGAGUUCGGGAGAGGGAUGCGGAAUUCCAGGUGUAGCGGUGAAAUGCGUAGAUAUCUGGAGGAACACCGGUGGCGAAGGCGGCAUCCUGGACCGACACUGACGCUGAGGAGCGAAAGCCAGGGGAGCAAACGGG
rnacentral:rRNA from 1 species